rnacentral:rRNA from 1 species
UACGGGGGGGGCAAGCGUUGUUCGGAAUUACUGGGCGUAAAGGGCUCGUAGGCGGCCAACUAAGUCGGAUGUGAAAUCCCCAGGCUCAACCUGGGAACUGCAUCCGAUACUGGAUGGCUUGAAUUCAGGAGAGGGAUGCAGAAUUCCAGGUGUAACGGUGAAAUGCGUAGAUAUCUGGAGGAAUACCGGUGGCGAAGGCGGCAUCCUGGACCGACAUUGACGCUGAGGAGCGAAAGCUAGGGGAGCAAACGGG